GACGAACGCUGGCGGCGCGCUUAACACAUGCAAGUCGAGCGAGAACCCUGGAGCUUGCUCCGGGGGGACAGCGGCGAACGGGUGAGUAACACGUGAGGAACCUGCCCCGAAGACCGGGAUAACACCGGGAAACCGGUGCUAAUACCGGAUGCACUCACCGGACCGCAUGAUCAGGUGAGGAAAUGGAUUCCGCUUCGGGAUGGGCGCGCGGCCUAGCAGCGUGUUGGUGGGGUAAGGGCCUACCAGGGCUCCGACGGGUAGCGUGUCUGAGUGGGUGUCCAGCAACACUGGGACUGAGACACGGCCCAGACUCCUACGGGAGGGAGCAGUGGGAAAUCUUGCGCAAGGGGCGAAAGCCUGACGCAGCGACGCCGCGUGCGGGAUGACGGCCUUCGGGUUGUAAACCGCUUUCAGCAGGGACGAUUGUGACGGUACCUGCAGAAGAAGCCCCGGCCAACUACGUGCCAGCCGCCGCCGUAA
rnacentral:rRNA from 1 species